rnacentral:lncRNA from 1 species
GAUACAUCACAAAUCCGAAAAUGAAACUUCUUUUACAGUCAAUGGAUCCUUCCCCGAAUUCUGCAAAGCCAAGAAACCCGUUUGAUCUUGGUGAUGAACGGCCACAAAUUCAAGCUGCAAUAGUAAGCGGUUUGAGCCUGAUCUUAUGAUUUCAUUCUAGUAUUCUAUGGCAUGUUUGAUAUGCAGCUAAAAAGAACAGAAAAAUGAUAGAGGCCAAGAAUAAUCCAAGAAGAACAAACAAGAAAUAUGAAGGAAAUUAUAUUAAAACUGACUGAAUGGAAAUUUACAACUUCAGAAAACAUAAGAGGCCAUUCGAGAGGGCCAUACUCUCCUAAUAUUCCCUUUCCUCACAAUGAUUUCUGAUGCCCUGACUCCCAACAAUUACUCUAUUUAUAACCCCCCUUGUAUAACUAACUCCAGCCUAGUCACUAUUUCAUAACAGAAUUUGUUAUUCCAUCCUUCUUGGUCCUUCUAGAAUAGAUGUGCUAAAUCGGGGGUCUAUCAAUUACCCCUCCCAAUUUAGUUACCUUGUCCACAAGGUUGAAAGAAGGGAAUUGUUGAUUAAUGAGAUCAAAAGGCUCCCAGGUUGCUUCUAAUGGUGACAGACCAAACAAUUUAAUGAGCACCUCCCUGUUGUCACUGUCCCCAGACGAUGCAGAACGGAUUCCCAAAACUGAUUCUGGUUCCACUUUUAAUUCCCAGUCUUCCCUUAAUUGUUGAGGUAGAGGGGAAAGCAGAUGGAAUUUACCCACAGCCUUCCUGAGUUGAGAAACAUGAAAAACAGGAUGAAUUCUGGACUCCGGAGGAAGUUUUAAUUUGUAAGCCACUUGACCAACUUUAGCUAUAACUUCAAAGGGCCCAUAGUACCGAGGGGAGAGUUUCUCAUUGGAACGAUGUGCCAAAGAUUUAAGGCGGUAUGGCCGCAUCUUUAAGUAGACUAAUUCCCCAAUAUCAAAAUCCACCGCCCUUCUAUGCUGAUCAGCAGAAGCUUUCAUCCUUUGUUGAGCAUUCUGCAGAUGCAUUUUUAAUUCUUCUAGUAACUGGUCAUGUUCCAGCAGCUGAUGGUCUAACGAAGAUACUGUUGUUGUCCCUUUCUCAAAGCAGAUGACAGGGGGUGGUUCCCGUCCAUACAAAAUACGAAAUGGAGUUAACUGUGUAGACACAUGGUAAGAAGUGUUAUAAGAUAAUUCAGCCCAUGGUAGAAAGUGAAACCAGUCUUUAGGCUUGCCUGAAGUGAAACAGCGAAGAUAAGCUUCAAUACUCCUAUUAACUACCUCCAUCUGGCCAUCGGUCUGUGGGUGAUAAGCUGAACUGAGCCUCAAUUUAGUUCCUUGCAACCGAAGAAGUUCACUCCAAAAUUUGCUAACAAAUACCUUGUCACGAUCAAAGAUUAUUGACCGUGGCAUGCCAUCCAACCGAACUAUCUCCUUAAUGAAUAUUGCCGCCACAGAAGGGGCCGAGAAAGGAUGUUUAAGUCCCACAAAAUGUCCAUACUUACUUAAGCGAUCCACGACGACCAAAAUCGAAUCAACCUCGUCUAACUUUGGCAAGCCAAUCCUUCUAUGAAGUCCAUGGAUAUAUCCUCCCAGACUUUCUCCAGCACUGGUAACGGUUGAAGCAGUCCCGUAGGGGUGAGGGUUGAAUACUUGUUCCUUUGACAUGUUGCACAGGCUGCCACAUAAUCCCGAAUAUCCUUCUUCAUGCCUUUCCAAUAAAAUGUGGCAGCAAUCCUUUUAUAUGUUUUAAGGAAUCCCCCAUGGCCACCGAUUUUGCUAUCGUGUCCUUCUUGCAAUGCCAACAUUACAAAUGGGGAGCCCUUAGGUAAGGCAAGUCGGUCACGAUAUAAUAGAGUACCUUGAACCAAUGCAAAUCCCGGAUGUGACGUUUGGUCACCUUGUAGUGCUGUACGGAUAUGGCUCAAUUCCGAGUCUUCCUUUACUGCCUUUUCUAGCUCAGCUUGCUGUACCACAAAUGGCAUACUAAGUGCAAUCCCUGCUGUAGCCAAUUCAACUUGGGAUAAGGCGUCGGCCGCCUUAUUUUCCAACUCGGGCUUGUACUCGAUGUCAAAGUCAUACCCCAGUAACUUCGUCAACCACUUUUGACAUUCUGUACUUACCACACGCUGUUCAAGAAGGAAUUUGAGACUUUUCUGAUCCGUUCGGACUAUGAAAUGCCUCCCAAUUAGAUAAUGCCUCCAUUUCUGAACAGCAAAUACAACUGCCAUCAACUCUCUCUCGUAAAUAGACUUGUUCCGGGACCGAGGAGGAAGAACUUGGCUGAAGUAAGCAAUAGGUCUCCGGUGUUGCAUCAGGACUGCCCCCAAGCCGUGACCAGACGCAUCAGUUUUAAUCACGAAUGGCUUGGAAAAGUCUGUAAGCCCUAAUAUUGGGACCGAUGCCAUAGCCCUUUUAAGAUUUACAAAAGCAGCUUCGGCCUCAUCACUCCACCCAAAAUUAUCCUUUUUUAGUUGUUGCGUAAGUGGCCAAGCUAUCCUUCCAUACCCCUCUACGAACUUCCGGUAGUACCCUGUUAGACCAAGGAACCCCCUUAGCUCCUUAAGCGACUUAGGUCGUGGCCAUGCAGUCAUGGCCUCCACCUUAGACAUAUCAGUGGCAACCCCUUUUCCUGAGAUUAUAUGGUCGAGGUACUCCAGUUCGGUUUGGCCAAACAAACACUUCUUCUUGUUAGCGAUCAGAUGAUUAUCCAUUAACUGCUGCAAUACCCAUCUCAAAUGCUCCCGAUGCUCUUCCACCGUUUGGCUAUAGACUAAAAUGUCAUCGAAGAAGACCAAUACAAAUCUCCGUAGUUGUUUCCUGAAGAUGUUGUUCAUUAGUGACUGGAAGGUUGCUGGUGCAUUCUUCAGAAUGGCAUGACUAGAAAUUCAUAGUGGCCUUCGUGGGUGCGGAAUGAAAUUUUAGGGAUGUCCCCUGUCCUCACCCGGAUUUGAUGAUACCCAGAUUUCAAGUCAAUUUUUGAGAAAAUGGUUGAACCAUGUAACUCAUCUAGGAGUUCGUCAAUGGUGGGAAUUGGAAAUUUAUCAGCAGCUGUAGCUUUAUUUACUGCCCGAUAGUCCACACAAAACCUCCAACUACCAUCUUUCUUUUUAACCAAGAGUACUGGGCUCGAAAAUGGGCUAGUGCUAUGCUGAAUAACUCCUGCAGCCAACAUCUCCUGCACUAACCUCUUGAUCUCAUUUUUCUGGAAAUAUGGGUAUCUAUAUGGUCUCACACUGAUGGGGCCUAUUCCGGGUUGCAGGUUGAUGGCAUGAUCAUGAUCCCGAUGAGGGGGCAGCUUACUUUUGCUCUCGAAAACAGCAGAGAAUUCUUUUAAUACUUCAAUAAUGACUUCCGGAGGAUCUAGCACCCCUCCUUCAUCGACAAUAGUGAUAUUACCUAAUUCCAAUAAGAGCCCUUCUCCUUGCUCUCUGAAUGUUUUUAACAUAGUCUUUAAUGAUACUGGGGUUCUACUAAGGCUGGGGUCGCCUUGAAGAGUUACGGUAGUCCCUGCCAUAUUAAUGGACAUAGUCAGCGUGUUCCAGUCCACUUGCAUUUUCCCCAAUUUUUACAGCCAUUGCAUCCCUAAUAUGACAUCUGAACUCCCUAAUUCCAGAGGUAAGAAGUCUUCUACCAUCGUCAGACUCUGCAACGUAAGUGGUAUCUGCUUGCAGAUGCCUUCUCCCUUUACAUUGAGGCCGGUCCCCAUAAUUACCCCGUAACCCGGAGUGCCUGAUAGAGGAAAGCCAAGUUGCUGGACAAUUUCUGAACUAAUGAAAUUAUGGGAUGCUCCACUAUUUAUGAGGACCACGACUUCUCUUUGGCCCAACUUCUCCUUUAACUUCAUAGUGCCCGGUAUCAUAAGCCCCACAACAGAGUUAAUAGAUAGCUCGACGACCUGGCUCUCCUUACUUUCUUCCUCUUCGUCAUCUCCGGUCGAGUUCUGGUCGACGCAGCCAUCACCGCCCGACGCGUCCCUGCCAAUCGAAAUUGCUUCCAUUUCUCUUACUACGAGCACUUGAAGCUCCUUAUUCUUACACUGGUGGCCGACUGUAAACUUCUCAUCGCAUCGAUAGCAAAGACCCCUUUCAUGCUUCACCUGUACUUCGGCAUCUGUAAGUCGUUUGAAGGAAGGGAUAUUUUUCUGAAAUGGUCCAGGGCUGGCCAUAUGGGUUGGGGUAAUAUUGAGAGGUAUAGUGGGCUUGGUUGUUGGGUUAAAACUUUAGGGUGGGUUCUGGUCAGAAUAGGCACUGGAUUUAGGUUUUGGUGGGCCUGGACUCCACUGGCUCACUUUAGUGACCCAAUUCCUUUCUUCCACCAUCUGGGCCGUUUCCAUCAUCUGCUCCAACCCCACCGGCCUGUGUAAUUGGACCUCUGUCCUUAAUUCGGGCUUCAAUCCGUUCAUAAAACUCCCUUCCAACACCUCCUCCGAUAAGCCAUUCAAUGGUGCAGCUAACGUCUCAAACUGUCGGCGAUAGUCCCUUACAGUGGUCGAUUGUCGGACCGCCAGAAAUUGAGCACACAGAGUCCCCUCUUGCGACGCUCGAAAUUGCCGAAGCAGCCUUACCUUCAGUUCUUCCCAAUUCAAGAUCGGCCGUCGCUUCUCCUCCCAUUUCAGCCACACUAACGCCUCCCCGUCCAGACAUACCACAGCGGCGUCCAUCUUUUCUUCUUCUGUCAUCCUAUUAAUCCCGAAGUAUCUCUCCACCCUGAAGAUCCACCCAUCCGGAUCCAUCCCGUCAAACACCGGCAUAUCCAGUCGCCUAAUGCGCGACUCUCCCUUCCAAUUUCCCAAGGCCCCGGCUCCCUCAAACUGACUUCCAGUUGGUCUCGAUUGGGCUAGUCCGGAUUCUGCAGAUGAUGAUGGUUCCUUAGCCACCCCUUUGUCCUUGCGUUCCCUCUCUUGGUUUGACCAACUCUACAGUAGCUUAUCCAUUUUUUCCAUUAGGCCUGAUUGCAUGGCAUGAAAUUCUGAUCGUAAGGCGUCUAAGUUGGUCUGGAGCUCGUGAUGAUUACUGCUCACCUGUUGCUCUAACUCAUUCACUCGUUCUGCCAAGGUCAUGGUUGUGCUAUGAAAUGGGUGCUCUGAUACCAAAUAUGAUAGAGGCCAAGAAUAAUCCAAGAAGAACAAACAAGAAAUAUGAAGGAAAUUAUAUUAAAACUGAUUGAAUGGAAAUUACAACUUAAGAAAACAUAAGAGGCCAUUUGAGAGAGCCAUACUCUCCUAAUAUUCCCUUUCCUCACAAUGAUUUCUGAUGCCCUGACUCUUAACAAUUACUCUAUUUAUAACCCCCCUUGUAUAACUAACUCCAGCCUAGUCACUAUUUCAUAACAUAAUUUGUUAUUCCAUCCUUCUUGGUCCUUCUAGAAUAGAUGUGCUGAAUCGGGGGUCUAUCAAAAAACUAUUAGCUUAUUCUUCUUAUAAUGUCUAGAAUCGUGCAGUUUGCAUUACUAACAAGCCACUAAUAUCAUAUGCAUUACUGAAAUAUCAAUUUGCCAAUAGAAAUUCCUGCACAUUAUUGUGAUUCCUUCAUGUUGUGUGUUUAUGUUAGGAAAAAUUAUUGAGAACCACAGAAAUCAGUGAUCUUUAAUUAAGAACUUAAGCAUCAUUAGCAGUUCAAUGUUAAAAUACUUAGCUAAUGUAGUACAUACAAGCCAUAGAUACAGUUCUAGAAUAAAACCUAUUCAAUUGAUUAUAUUCAAUGUCCAUUAAUUUGUUGAAAGCAUUGUGAUCAUAACCAAUAACAGUUUGGUACAAUAUUCGUAGAGCACAAUUCAUGAAUUUACCUUUUAAACAUACGAACCUUGGAAAUUAUUCCCUUUCCUUGUUUUCUUUGGUUUAGUUUCCGUUUGUGGAAUCUUUGCACGGGGCUCUAACUAACAUGCCACCUCCGGUGGGUUUACAGCCUCAUCCAUCAUUGCCUUAUGCAUCAGCACUGGCUUCACAGGUUUCCCCUUAUGGGGUGAACAUUCCUGCAGGUAAAAUUACUCUAUUUUCCUCAGUUAAUUUAUAAAUAUAUAUGUGUGUGUGUGCGUGUGUGCAUAUAUAUAUGUAGAAGUUGAUCCCAACUUUAUCGACAUUCACGUGAAUUCUCUAUUCCAGGAGCAUAC